rnacentral:rRNA from 1 species
AUUGAACGCUGGCGGCAGGCCUAACACAUGCAAGUCGAGCGGAUGAAGGGAGCUUGCUCCUGGAUUCAGCGGCGGACGGGUGAGUAAUGCCUAGAAAUCUGCCUGGUAGUGGGGGAUAACGUCCGGAAACGGGCGCUAAUACCGCAUACGUCCUGAGGGAGAAAGUGGGGGAUCUUCGGACCUCACGCUAUCAGAUGAGCCUAGGUCGGAUUAGCUAGUUGGUGGGGUAAAGGCCUACCAAGGCGACGAUCCGUAACUGGUCUGAGAGGAUGAUCAGUCACACUGGAACUGAGACACGGUCCAGACUCCUACGGGAGGCAGCAGUGGGGAAUAGUGGACAAUGGGCGAAAGCCUGAUCCAGCCAUGCCGCGUGUGUGAAGAAGGUCUUCGGAUUGUAAAGCACUUUAAGUUGGGAGGAAGGGCAGUAAGUUAAUACCUUGCUGUUUUGACGUUACCAACAGAAUAAGCACCGGCUAACUUCGUG